rnacentral:rRNA from 1 species
UGGGGAAUAUUGCACAAUGGGCGCAAGCCUGAUGCAGCCAUGCCGCGUGUGUGAAGAAGGCCUUCGGGUUGUAAAGCACUUUCAGCGGGGAGGAAGGCGUUAAGGUUAAUAACCUUGGCGAUUGACGUUACCCGCAGAAGAAGCACCGGCUAACUCCGUGCCAGCAGCCGCGGUAAUACGGAGGGUGCAAGCGUUAAUCGGAAUUACUGGGCGUAAAGCGCACGCAGGCGGUCUGUCAAGUCGGAUGUGAAAUCCCCGGGCUCAACCUGGGAACUGCGUUCGAAACUGGCAGGCUAGAGUCUUGUAGAGGGGGGUAGAAUUCCAGGUGUAGCGAUGAAAUGCGUAGAGAUCUGGAGGAAUACCGGUGGCGAAGGCGGCCCCCUGGACAAAGACUGACGCUCAGGUGCGAAAGCGUGGGGAGCAAACAGG